UGCAUAUUUAUGCUGCAAUAUAUUGUUAAAUAAUUCCUAUACAUUAGACACAUGUUUCAAAGCAAUUACCGUCAAUUCCUGUCUGCAUAUAUAUUAUGUAACAUAUUGUUGAAUAAUUUAUAUAUAUAUUAGACUCCGAAAAGAGCAGACACGUAUUUUAAAAUUGCUUUGGCUAUGUAAAAGUUUACCCGGAGGCCUCCUGAAUCAAAAAGUAUGUCUCCAUCGCAAUUGCUCUUUGUCAUCCUAAGCUUGUCUUUGCUGUGCGGGCCCGGGCAAGCAAUUCCUCGUAUGCUACGCAGUGGGCCUGCAGCAACCGAUGCUAAUCAAGAAAGAGUCACUCGAAUGCCACAAGCGCUUCAAGCCAGUAGUAACGUUCAACCGAUUAUGUCGAACGAACGAACGUCUAGAUCUGAAAACUCGAUUAGUUAAACCAGAGAAAACAAGGAGUUUCCUACGUAACGGUAAAAAAAGGAAUGAAAAGGUUGGAUUUACAUGGACGAAUUCUUCAGCACCGACACAAGAAUCAAAAUUGAAUGAUAAAUUUUAUCAACAAAAUAAAAAUAUGAACUGCUA